rnacentral:miRNA from 2 species
UGAGAAGGUAGAUCAUAAUAGC